GGCAUCGUAGCUCAACGGACAAGAGCAGCUGCCUUGUAAGCAGUUGGUUGUAGGUUCAAAUCCUGCCGGUGCCUCCA
rnacentral:tRNA from 1 species